AUCCAGGGUGGUGAUGCUAGUCGGGCAUGCGGGUGCAGGCAGCGACCGGAGAUGCAUGCUGGCCACUUCUGAGGGAAGCCCAUGAUUGCCAAAAUCAACCUACGCUUCUUCUCAUGGGGAAUUGUCAAGGGGUUGGACAGCUGGGCAAGUGAAAUAAACUUUUGUUUAUCAAUCUCAUUGUUUAUCAAUCUCUGUCAUAUAUGAAAUUAUUAUGAUUUCAAGGAAUGUCAUAUCAGAGAGCACGCAAUGGGGUCACCAUCUGUUAAAGUGAAUAUAUAAAACAUCUCAGAAAAUAACUAUUUGCAUUUGCACACAAAAUAACCUGAAGCUAGUUUUAGAUUCCCCAACACUGAUAUUUUUUCUCUUCCUAGGGUUACCUCGGUGGAAGCCAACAAUCUUCUCCAGUUGGAGCAGUUGGAUGGUUGACCACUGAAAGCCCUGAUGCCCUAAACUUCAGUGAAGCCCAAUAGACAAAGACCAUUGACUGUCCAAGCCCCACCAGAGACAGUGCGUACGGAUCAGUCUGAUUCUCUGUGCUCUGUGUCGGAGGGGGACCAGCUUGAGGAUCUAGGUGUUCUGCCCAACACCCAGAUGGGGAUCCGCCUGUCAUCCGUUACCAACCACCCUCCAACUUUUCAUCAGCUACAGCUAAGAUUAUUGUCAUGUUGUAGUUAUCUGAUUAAAAGUUUUCUUGCACUAUCAUGCUGAGCACUGCAAACACUCAAAACAAAGAGAGCAGCAGUGCCUGGACCUUGCAGUCUCCCUCUUCAAGUCUCCAUUCUGAGACUGGCAGCCUGUUGAGAACAAGUGACAGGCGGAACCUCCGAACACCUCCUCUAUAUUCUACACAACAGAAUUCAGUAUUUUAGUCUAUGAUUGCCAGUGCAAAAAAACAUAUGAAAAUGUAUUAAUGAC